GGAUGAGCCCGCGGCCUAUCAGCUUGUUGGUGAGGUAAUGGCUCACCAAGGCGACGACGGGUAGCCGGCCUGAGAGGGCGACCGGCCACACUGGGACUGAGACACGGCCCAGACUCCUACGGGAGGCAGCAGUGGGGAAUAUUGCACAAUGGGCGAAAGCCUGAUGCAGCGACGCCGCGUGAGGGAUGACGGCCUUCGGGUUGUAAACCUCUUUCAGCAGGGAAGAAGCGAAAGUGACGGUACCUGCAGAAGAAGCGCCGGCUAACUACGUGCCAGCAGCCGCGGUAAUACGUAGGGCGCAAGCGUUGUCCGGAAUUAUUGGGCGUAAAGAGCUCGUAGGCGGUCUGUCGCGUCGGAUGUGAAAGCCCGGGGCUUAACCCCGGGUCUGCAUUCGAUACGGGCAGACUAGAGUGUGGUAGGGGAGAUCGGAAUUCCUGGUGUAGCGGUGAAAUGCGCAGAUAUCAGGAGGAACACCGGUGGCGAAGGCGGAUCUUUGGCCAUUCUGACCUUGAAGACGAAACCUGGGGAGCGAACAGGAUUAAUACCUGGUAUCCC
rnacentral:rRNA from 1 species